GAUGAAGAACGUAGCGAAAAGCGAUAAGUAAUGUGAAUUACAGAAUUCAGUGAAUCAUCGAAUCUUUGAACGCACAUUGCGCCCCUUGGUAUUCCGAGGGGCAUGCCUGUUCGAGCGUCAUUAUCACCCCUCAAGCUCAGCUUGGUGUUGGGGCCGGCCCGUCACAGGGCCGCCCCUAAAAGCAGUGGCGGUGCCAUCUGGCUCUACGCGUAGUAAUACUCCUCGCGACAGAGUCCCGGUGGUGUCCUGCCAGAACCCCCCAUCUUUUUAAUGAUUGACCUCGGAUCAGGUAGGGAUACCCGCUGAACUUAAGCAUAUCAAUAAGCGGAGGA
rnacentral:misc_RNA from 1 species